GGAGUAGUGGUUGUAACGUAUUAGUGGAGUAGUGGUUGUAACGUAUUAGUGGAGUAGUGGUUGUAACGUAUUAGUGGAGUAGUGGUUGUAACGUAUUAGAGGAGUAGUGGUUGUAACGUAUUAGAUGAGUAGUGGUUGUAACGUAUUAGUGGAGUAGUGGUUGUAACGUAUUAGAGGAGUGGUGGUUGUAACGUAUUAGAUGAGGCUGUAUUAGUGGAGUAGUGGUUGUAACGUAUUAGCGGAGUAGUGGUUGUAAUGUAUUAGUGGAGUAGUGGUUGUAAUGCAUUAGAUGAAGCUUGGUUGUAACGUAUUAGUGGAGUAGUGGUUGUAACGUAUUAGAGGAGUGGUGGUUGUAACGUAUUAGAUGAGGCUGUAUUAGUGGAGUAGUGGUUGUAACGUAUUAGUGGAGUAGUGGUUGUAACGUAUUAGUGGAGUAGUGGUUGUAACGUAUUAGAGGAGUAGUGGUUGUAACGUAUUAGAUGAGGCUUGGUUGUAACGUAUUAGUGGAGUAGUGGUUGUAACGUAUUAGAGGAGUAGUGGUUGUAACGUAUUAGAGGAGUGGUGGUUGUAACGUAUUAGAUGAGGCUGUAUUAGUGGAGUAGUGGUUGUAACGUAUUAGUGGAGUAGUGGUUGUAACGUAUUAGUGGAGUAGUGGUUGUAACGUAUUAGUGGAGUAGUGGUUGUAACGUAUUAGUGGAGUUGUGGUUGUAACUAUUAGUGGAGUAGUGGUUGUAACGUAUUAGUGGAGUAGUGGUUUGGCUGUAUUAGUGGAGUAGUGGUUGUAACGCAUUAGUGGAGUAGUGGU
ensembl:lncRNA